CCUACGGGAGGCAGCAGUGGGGGAUAUUGCACAAUGGGGGAAACCCUGAUGCAGCGACGCCGCGUGGGGGAAGACGGUCCUCUGGAGUGUAAACCACUGUCCCCAGGGACGAAGAUGACGGUACCGGCGGAGGAAGCGCCGGCUAACUACGUGACAGCAGCCGCGGUAAUACGGAGGGAGCGAGCGUGGUCCGGAAUUACUGGGUGUAAAGGGAGCGGAGGCGGGACUGCAAGAGGGGUGUCAAAUCUACCGGCUCAACCGGGAGCCGCACUCAAAACUGCAGUUCUUGAGUGAAGUAGAGGCAGGCGGAAUUCCUCGUGUAGCGGUUAUCUGCGUCGAUCUUAGGCGG
rnacentral:rRNA from 1 species